rnacentral:rRNA from 1 species
AUUGAACGCUGGCGGCAGGCCUAACACAUGCAAGUCGAGCGGAUGACGGGAGCUUGCUCCUUGAUUCAGCGGCGGACGGGUGAGUAAUGCCUAGGAAUCUGCCUGGUAGUGGGGGACAACGUUUCGAAAGGAACGCUAAUGCCGCAUACGUCCUACGGGAGAAAGCAGGGGACCUUCGGGCCUCGCGCUAUCAGAUGAGCCUAGGUCGGAUUAGCUAGUAGGUGAGGUAAUGGCUCACCUAGGCGACGAUCCGUAACUGGUCUGAGAGGAUGAUCAGUCACACUGGAACUGAGACACGGUCCAGACUCCUACGGGAGGCAGCAGUGGGGAAUAUCGGACAAUGGGCGAAAGCCUGAUCCAGCCAUGCCGCGUGUGUGAAGAAGGUCUUCGGAUUGUAAAGCACUUUAAGUUGGGAGGAAGGGCAGUAAGUUAAUACCUUGCUGUUUUGACGUUACCGACAGAAUAAGCACCGGCUAACUCUGUGCCAGCCGCCGCGGUAAAAC